rnacentral:rRNA from 1 species
GUGAGGGAUAACUAGUCGAAAGAUUAGCUAAUACCGCAUGUGAUCUUUGGAUUAAAGCAUUUAUGCGCUUUGGGAAUGGCUUGCGUACGAUUAGAUAGUUGGUGAGGUAAAGGCUUACCAAGUCGACGAUCGUUAGAUGGUUUGAGAGGAUGAUCAUCCAGACUGGGACUGAGACACGGCCCAGACUCCUACGGGAGGCAGCAGUAGGGAAUCUUUCACAAUGGGCGAAAGCCUGAUGGAGCAAUGCCGCGUGCAGGAUGAAGGCCUUCGGGUUGUAAACUGCUUUUAUAAGCGAGAAAUAUGAUGGUAACUUAUGAAUAAGGAUCGGCUAACUACGUGCCAGCAGCCGCGGUCAUACGUAGGAUCCGAGCAUUAUCCGGAGUGACUGGGUGUAAAGAGUUGCGUAGGUGGCAAGGUAAGUAGAUAGUGAAACCUGGUGGCUCAACCAUACAGACUAUUAUUCAAACUGUUAAACUCGAGAGUGGUAGAGGUAACUGGAAUUUCUAGUGUAGGAGUGAAAUCCGUAGAUAUUAGAAGGAACACCAAUGGCGUAGGCAGGUUACUGGACCAUUUCUGACGCUAAGGCACGAAAGCGUGGGGAGCGAACUGGAUUAGAUACCCAGGUAGUCCACGCCGUAAACGAUGGAUACUAGCUGUUGGAGGUAUCGACCCCUUCAGU